rnacentral:lncRNA from 1 species
GGACCCAACUGCCCAAGGUUGCAAACCUUUAUUUCCCAGUGCCACCCCCUCCCAAGCCAAGGUUUGCACACAGUCGCCUCCUCCCCCGCCACCGCCGGCAGUACACACUCGGCAGUACACACUCGGCUGGGUUCCCGCUCUGCGAGGGAAGGUCACAAUAGCUGCUCUAUCUGCAGAGGCGCCUGCCUCCUCCCUCCCUGGGUCUCAGAGAAGCAGAGAAAGAAGGGGGAGGGGCGCCGGCCGCCGACGGCGCCCAGGGCCGGGGGCCUCUCUUCUUGGGGAAGAGUUGCAGCGGUACUUGCAAGAGGAAGUUGGGUGGGGUAAGAAAUCUCCACCCUAGCUCCUGCCUCUCAAGUGUUCCGGGGGGCAAAGGGAAGGCACCAAGGCCUCGAAGUUGCUCGAGGCCUCCCUGCUCCACGCUUCCUUGAGGGUGCCCAGAGCAGCCAGAAGCCGGGAACACGCACGCCAUUGUGUGCGCUGCUUCCCCAUGGGUUCUACAGCAGAGAAGGCCGUAUGUAGGCAGCACAGGCUGGUGGCCGGAGGUGGGAAGAAGCUGGCCCCUCUUGCUCACUGGGGCUUUGGUCUCUGGGAUCUACCGUGGUUGCCUAAGAGAGGAAAUGGCUCUUAAGCUCGUGCCUUUGGCCAGUUCUCCCUUACCCUAUGGCAACUGCGUUUUUGGGGUGUGUGUGUGUGUGUGUGUGUUGGUGCUGGUGGGGUGUCAAGGUGGUUAGGGGGUCUCUUGAGAUCUGAAGAAAGGGGUCAGGGCUGUGAGCCUAGGCCCAUGGGUGAGGGGUGGCUGUCCACCUGGCAUCCUGGGUGGUUCUGUCCAAGCAAUCAAAUGUGAAUUAAGGCAGGGUGGAAUAGCCUGCUGCACAGCAGGGGUUGGAGUGAGAAAUAAUUUAAGCCGAAGGAGAGAGUUCCUUGCAACCAGGAAAAACUCAGGAUCCAGUCUGCAGUAGAGGGCCUAGAAUGGAGCUAACCAGGAAAUUGCAGAAGCUGCUGAGGAACAGGCCUUGAAGAGUAGUCCUGGCACUGGUAAGGAGGGCCCAGUGGGAAAAUGGGUCGAGUGAGCGGCACCAGAGUCCCUCGCUCCAGCCUGCCGCCUCUUGGGACAGCGACGAUGCUCUCCUCAGCACGCACGGCAGAGAACACACAAAGAAAGCCGGGACCUGUUCUCGGCAGUUUCGAGGAGGAGGCUGGUGAGGACCCCGAGGCGGAGUGCCCCAGCCCCGCAGGAACAAUAGCUGCAGGCGGCAGUGGGGAGUGCGGCACAAAGCCCGCCGGAUCCACGCCGUCACGUGAGCCCCCCCCCCCCCCCGCCGCAGGGCUCGGGACCCACCUGGGCCAUUUGCGGAGACAAGCGGUUCCUCCUACUUCAGAGCAAGUCUGGGCCAGCUGGGAGCCGACCAGAAACCGCCAGCGGAGGAGACUCGGGCGCACUGGCUGGGUACUUGCAGAGGGCGUGACCCGCGGUGUUCCCACCCCCACCCCCACCCCCGCCUCACUACAGCCUGGGCUGGAGGGGAGUGCUGGUGGCCACCUCCUUGCCUUGGGGACAGGCCGGCUGCGCCAGCCCUCAGACUUCUCUGGGCACCCACGCCUGCCCCUGCCCCACAGUGACCCUGCAUUCCCUGUCCCUCUCCACACUGGCCCCAGUGACCCGCUGCUCUGUUCCCAGAAAGGGAUUUAUCUGACUCUGAAGGCAGGAGAAAAAGCCCACGAGGCCAGAGGGUUUUUGCAAACUCUUAAGUCUUAUUUGGCUGCGGGAGUAUUUGUGUGGGAGGAAGACCACUGUUGAACUUGAAAUAAACUUGAAUGUCAUUUAUAGUAACAAUAAACAUAUACUGAAAACACCAGUCACAAUGAUGUUUCUUCUCUUGGAGUGUAGCAGCAAGACUCCUAAGUACUUUUACCUCAGCCCUCAGGUUAAUUUUAGAAACAUCAUAGGGCUAAACUGCAA